UUUAAAUGACCUCCCUCUUGGAGAGCACUUUAAUUAAGGACUGUAUUGUGAGAGGUCAUAACGUAAACCUAAGAUCUCCCUGUGAUAAGCAUGCUUUGUUUAUGACUCUCCCUCAGCCCUGUGCCGUAUCCUGUUGGGACAGUCACCGCUUCUUCCUUGCUUCUGCAUGUGCCAGAAAACUCCCGGGAGCUCAAGAUGUCUGUCCAACUGAGGCUUGGUCUUUGUGCUUCUGGGAGUGGCUCCCAGGGCCUCAGGCAUUCAGGGUAAUCCUUGUACCCUAGAGUUGCAAUCUAACUAUCUCUUUUUCCUGAUAAAGUUCUUUCUCCCUUAAGAACUCUCCUCUGGUCACUGCAUGGGUCCUGGUGAACUUAUUGUUUUUAAAAUGUCAUAUUUACUUAGAUCAAACAAAAAGCCACUAUAUUGAAAAUGAGAUAGUUAACUGCUUUUUGUUUUUUUGUUUUUCUUUUUGUUUUUUUUUUUUUUAAAGAGAAUUCCUAUCUUUUCCUGCCAAGAGCACUAUAUGUAUUUUAGUCACAUCAGGAAGUGGAGAUGAAUUUGACACCUUCUAUUUUAUCUAAGAAAGCAUUUUACUGUGGUUUUGCCUUGUAACAAAGGUAAAAGGGAUAAAAACACCUUAACUCUUCAGGGUCAGAAUUAAUUUACAUUGAUAUGUUUUAGAAUUGUCUUCAUCUUCUCAUGCUCAAAUAUAGCCCUUAAUCAAAGAACUGUAAGGCAGGCGUCUGUAGCAAGGUAAAGGGAUGGAGCUCAAAAUUCGGAAGGCAUUAUAAAGAAGCCAGCUUACCAAAGGCUGAAUCUAGAUGCUGCAAGGCAUGCUCAUGUGUCAAAACAAUCCAGCACGGGGCUCUGCCAUUUAAGCUAGGUGAAGAGGUGGUUGAACUAUGGACUCUUGAAAAAUAUGCCUAAGAUCAGACACUGGCAGCAAACUCUUUUCCUCAGGCUCCUAUACCAAGUUCCACCAAAUUAAGCCAUUUGAAUUUAACAGAAAUAUAGUUUGAGCAAUUUGGAAGCCGGAAUCAAAGACUGGACAGGUUUGUCUCUUUGGGAGCCAGUGAAAGAGAAAUGAUCAUAUCUUUCCUCUGGUUCCCUAGUGUGUGUCAGCCGUUGUGAUGUCCUUCAGCUCAGAGUCAUAGCACUCCAGUUUCUGCCUCCACCUUUACGUGGCAUCUGCCUCAUGGUGUAUCCUUUUCUGAUUCUUACAAAGAAACAUGUCACUGCACUUAGUGACCUCCACAAUCCAGGGUCAUCAAUACAUACCUAGAUAAAGACUCUAUUUCAAACAGUAUCCCAUCCUAAGGUUUUGGGUGGACAAUUAUUUCACUGGACCAGUAUUGAUUCCACUGCAUCAUAACAGGAAGUGACUGAUGCUACAGAAGAGCGUAUGCACAUAAGACAUGGCCUCACCCAAGGUGUCAGGCUCCAGCAGCAGUGAGAAGGGCUGAUGAAGGAUUGGUCAAUGAGGGUAGAGUGCUCACAUAGUUCAGUGUCCCAAGGAAGCUAAGUUCUUGCUGCCAGGGUAGGAAGUUAGCAUUUGGUACCUAGAUGGAAAGGGUAGGAGGGUUCCCAGAUACCACCUUAGAGAUACUGAGAGGUGACUUUAUAGUAUGGUAACAAAAAUGUAAAUGUGAAUGUGUAUUACCUAGCCUUGACCUGUCGUGACCUGGCCACAAGGCCAUGCAACAACAAUAAGCACACUCAGCUUCCACAUCUUUGUAGCUCAGCUACUUGAAAAAUGGCUGGAGGGCAGCAACCAAAGUAUAAUGGAGACUUUGGUUUGUUUAGACCUUUUGUCUAUGAGGUGGACCCACUCAUAUUCAGGAAAACCAUGUGCUCAAAAUAAUCCUCCUUUCCCCUUCACCAGAACCCCGUCAUAGAUACAAAUAGAAGUGUACUUUACUAAUCUCUUAAUUGCCUCUAAGGCCAAUCAGGUUGACAAGGUUAGUCAUGGAUGGGGAAAGUAUUAUCAGAGAAGCAACUCAGAACUAAGAGUCUAACAGAUAGAAAAAAAAGAAUAAAAAGGAAUCUAGCAAGGCAGGGAUGUGAACGUUGGUGUGUGAUUCUGAACUGGAUCCAGAAUUUUGACCAGUGAAUGUGGUAUGAAAAUAGGAGUUCCUUUGCUUAGGGAAUGCCUGGAGUAGAGAUACCCAUUGCUUUUAGUUGUGGUAGUGGUGGAGGAGGAGGAAGAGAAGGGUGAGGAGGGUGAGGAGACAUCUAUGACAAGAAUGAAAAUGGAAGGAUGGCUGAAGAAACCUUGAAAUAUCUACAUAGCUUCUGUGCACUAAAUAUUUUAGAUUCCUGGAAUAGAAAUUGCCUGAUUUCAUAUGCAGAAACCACUUGUCUAAUCAUGUUAUUUAAAUUUAUUUAUUUAUAGCAGGGUGGUGGUGGCGCACACCUUUAAUCCCAGCACUUGGGAGGCAGAGGCACGCAGAUUUCUGAGUGCGAGGCCAGCCUGGUCUACAAAGUGAGUUCCAAGACAGCCAAAGCUACAGAGAAACCCUAUCUUGAAAAACAAAAACAAAAACAAAACAAAAAACAACAACAACAAAAAAACCAAACC
rnacentral:lncRNA from 1 species